GUACUCGCUUCAGCAGCACACAGACCAAAACAGGAGUGACACUGAGAAGAUUAGCAUGGCCCUGUACAAGGAUGACACACAAAUUCAUGAAGCAUUCCAUAUUUUG
ensembl:snRNA U6 U6 spliceosomal RNA